UACGUAGGAGGCAAGCGUUGUCCGGAAUUACUGGCGUAAAGCGCGUGUAGGUGGUGGGACAAGUCUGCUGUGAAAGCGCCUGGCUUAACCGGGCGAGGUCGGCGGAAACUGUCCGACUCGAGGACGGUAGAGGGGGGUGGAAUUCCCGGUGUAGUGGUGAAAUGCGUAGAGAUCGGGAGGAACACCUGUGGCGAAGGCGGCCCCCUGGGCCGGCCCUGACACUGAGACGCGAAGGCGUGGGGAGCGAACGGG
rnacentral:rRNA from 1 species